GACGAACGCUGGCGGCGUGCUUAACACAUGCAAGUCGAACGGAAAGGCCCUUCGGUGUACUCGAGUGGCGAACGGGUGAGUAACACGUGGGUGAUCUGCCCUGCACUUUGGGCUAAGCCUGGGAAACUGGGUCUAAUACUGAAUAGGACCACGCGCUUCAGGGUGUGUGGUGGAAAGCUUUUGCGGUGUGGGAUGGGCCCGCGGCCUAUCAGCUUGUUGGUGGGGUAAUGGCAUACCAAGGCGACGACGGGUAGCCGGCCUGAGAGGGUGACCGGCCACACUGGGACUGAGAUACGGCCCAGACUCCUACGGGAGGCAGCAGUGGGGAGUAUUGCACAAUGGGCGCAAGCCUGAUGCAGCGACGCCGCGUGAGGGAUGACGGCCUUCGGGUUGUAAACCUCUUUCAAUAGGGACGAGGCGCAAGUGACGGUACCUAUAGAAGAAGCACCGGCUAACUACGUG
rnacentral:rRNA from 1 species